UUUAUGGAGAGUUUGAUCCUGGCUCAGGAUGAACGCUGGCGGCGUGCCUAAUACAUGCAAGUCGAGCGAACGGACGAGAAGCUUGCUUCUCUGAUGUUAGCGGCGGACGGGUGAGUAACACGUGGAUAACCUACCUAUAAGACUGGGAUAACUUCGGGAAACCGGAGCUAAUACCGGAUAAUAUUUUGAACCGCAUGGUUCAAAAGUAAAAGACGGUCUUGCUGUCACUUAUAGAUGGAUCCGCGCUGCAUUAGCUAGUUGGUAAGGUAACAGCUUACCAAGGCAACGAUGCAUAGCCGACCUGAGAGGGUGAUCGGCCACACUGGAACUGAGACACGGUCCAGACUCCUACGGGAGGCAGCAGUAGGGAAUCUUCCGCAAUGGGCGAAAGCCUGACGGAGCAACGCCGCGUGAGUGAUGAAGGUCUUCGGAUCGUAAAACUCUGUUAUUAGGGAAGAACAUAUGUGUAAGUAACUGUGCACAUCUUGACGGUACCUAAUCAGAAAGCCACGGCUAACUACGUGCCAGCAGCCGCGGUAAUACGUAGGUGGCAAGCGUUAUCCGGAAUUAUUGGGCGUAAAGCGCGCGUAGGCGGUUUUUUAAGUCUGAUGUGAAAGCCCACGGCUCAACCGUGGAGGGUCAUUGGAAACUGGAAAACUUGAGUGCAGAAGAGGAAAGUGGAAUUCCAUGUGUAGCGGUGAAAUGCGCAGAGAUAUGGAGGAACACCAGUGGCGAAGGCGACUUUCUGGUCUGUAACUGACGCUGAUGUGCGAAAGCGUGGGGAUCAAACAGGAUUAGAUACCCUGGUAGUCCACGCCGUAAACGAUGAGUGCUAAGUGUUAGGGGGUUUCCGCCCCUUAGUGCUGCAGCUAACGCAUUAAGCACUCCGCCUGGGGAGUACGACCGCAAGGUUGAAACUCAAAGGAAUUGACGGGGACCCGCACAAGCGGUGGAGCAUGUGGUUUAAUUCGAAGCAACGCGAAGAACCUUACCAAAUCUUGACAUCCUUUGACAACUCUAGAGAUAGAGCUUUCCCCUUCGGGGGACAAAGUGACAGGUGGUGCAUGGUUGUCGUCAGCUCGUGUCGUGAGAUGUUGGGUUAAGUCCCGCAACGAGCGCAACCCUUAAGCUUAGUUGCCAUCAUUAAGUUGGGCACUCUAAGUUGACUGCCGGUGACAAACCGGAGGAAGGUGGGGAUGACGUCAAAUCAUCAUGCCCCUUAUGAUUUGGGCUACACACGUGCUACAAUGGACAAUACAAAGGGCAGCGAAACCGCGAGGUCAAGCAAAUCCCAUAAAGUUGUUCUCAGUUCGGAUUGUAGUCUGCAACUCGACUACAUGAAGCUGGAAUCGCUAGUAAUCGUAGAUCAGCAUGCUACGGUGAAUACGUUCCCGGGUCUUGUACACACCGCCCGUCACACCACGAGAGUUUGUAACACCCGAAGCCGGUGGAGUAACCUUUUAGGAGCUAGCCGUCGAAGGUGGGACAAAUGAUUGGGGUGAAGUCGUAACAAGGUAGCCGUAUCGGAAGGUGCGGCUGGAUCACCUCCUUUCU
rnacentral:rRNA from 1 species